UGGACACGGCAACAGAAAACCGCAAAUUACGCGUGCUACGUCGUAUUAUAUUUUAAUAGUUAUAUAAAGACAAAAAGUGUUCUGCGUAACGACUUUCAGGUGGGGUCGAGAUUUGGGCCCCCUCUACAUACGCCACUGCAUAUGAUGAUCACAAAGCAUAGCCUUUAGAUGAUGAUGACAGUUAGCUACUUUGAUAUGCAUUCGUAUCACUUCAAGACAAAAUUAAAAAUUAUAAUGUUGUUAGUCAAUAAAAUACUUCAAUGUGAUUCCAAUUUUGAACAAUAUUUACAAAUAUAACAUCAUGCAAAUUCAAAAAUUUCAUACAUCAGUCAUACAUGUAAGUGAGACUACAGACAUGUUUACUGAAAAUAAUGAUUUGAAAACUCUAAAGCGUUUUAGUCAACAUAAAACCUCAUAAUAAUUAAAAUAACUUGCAAAAAUUUAGUUC
rnacentral:lncRNA from 1 species